GACGAACGCUGGCGGCGUGCCUAACACAUGCAAGUCGAACGAGGUCCAAGGGAGCUUGCUCCCUGAAGACCUAGUGGCGAACGGGUGAGUAACACGUGAGAAACCUGCCUCGGAGUGGGGAAUAACUCGGGGAAACUCGAGCUAAUACCGCAUACCUUCACAUGAUCGCAUGGUCGAGUGAAGAAAGAAUUUCGCUCUGAGAGGGUCUCGCGGCCUAUCAGCUAGUUGGUGGGGUAACGGCCUACCAAGGCAAAGACGGGUAGCUGGUUUGAGAGAACGAUCAGCCACACUGGGACUGAGACACGGCUCAGACUCCUACGGGAGGCAGCAGUGGGGAAUCUUGCGCAAUGGGCGAAAGCCUGACGCAGCAACGCCGCGUGCGGGAUGACGGCCUUCGUGGUUGUAAACCGCUUUCAGCAGGGACGAAAUUGACGGUACCUGCAGAAGAAGCCCCGGCUAACUACGUGCCAGCAGCCGCCGUAAAAC
rnacentral:rRNA from 1 species